AGGUGAUAGAAUACAUUAGAUAACAACUUGAUGCCCUCUUUCUUGAACACAUCAAUGGUUAAUUGCACUUUAAAGACAACUAACUGUUUAGAGUCGGAGGAGGACUCAAUAGAAGACUCAAAGAUAAGGUCAUGGUCAGUUGAAUAAGAGGUGGGAAGGGUUUUUGAGAGAUGUUCCAUAGAUCGAGUUUAGGUCAUUUGGCAUAGGAGAGAACUAAUUAGGUUUUUAAGGAGAUAAUGUAACACCCCGCACUUUUAGAAAGAUUAAAUUUGUCUUAAAA
rnacentral:lncRNA from 1 species